AUUCAAGAGGGAACAGGCGGUGAGAGUGAGAAGUGGGUGAGGGCUGCGGAGUUGGAUGGACUUUGCACGGCCGUUUCCCAACUCCGUGUCCUUUGCUGACUCAUGCCACGUGGGAGAAGAAAGAAGAAGUGACACGUUGGCCGUUAUCUCACAAACUACGGCGGAGACUCCCCCGUGGGAAGGCACAUGCGUCAUCGCCAAGAGUCUGUUUGAGCACCAGAGAAAGUUGGCCUAAUUCUGGUUAGCUCGGUGACAUCAAGACCUGCGUGUUCCCUAGGAAGCACGACGGGAGAAAGUAAAAGAAAGGAACUUCUUACAGAAUGGCCUUCCUCUCUGUAAAGAGGACUCAUUCUUCCACUCGAUACUCUGGGGGCGAAGAUUCCUGUGAUUAAAAACUCUGAGGUCAGAGCCACAGAAGCCAGGACACCCGGCUUGUGUGGCUCUGCUUCCCUGCCUUCCUCAGGAGCCCACUGAUGCACAGGGUGCCCGGCUGCCGCUCGGUCCUGGGCCACCGUCUCUGGAGGGCACAGAACAGUGGGGUGAAGGGGAACCUCUCUGUCAAAGCCCUGGGCAACUGCCAGGCUGAAGGAAGGGCAGCGGCUGGCCCAUCCCUGUCCCCAGGGUCACAGUGUCGUGACGCUCUCCUUCACAGCUGUCCUCCUCCUCCACCAUCCCUGGGGGCAGAAGGAAGCCCUGGAUGCCAUGGAGCAGAAGGGGAGGUGGCACAGCAGGGCCAGUCUCAGGAAGGGGAAGGGUGGCUCUUGGACGACAAGUCUGGAGACCAGAGCAGGACGCCCCCAGGACAGAAAGGACAGGCGCACUGCCUGGAUCCCUGCCCCCUAGGAGAGUGGACACAAACCCGAGUGUGGGCACCUAGAGUGACUGCCCUAAAUAAGGAAUUGUUGUGACCCUCCCAUGUUUUACCUUAAAAAGCCAGCGCCCAGCUCGUGACAGAUGCUCCGUACAUGUUUACUGAAGUCAUCGGAAUUCUGCAUGCGACUUGCAUCUUUUGUACAAUCCCCCAUUUGGGAGCCAAACUUCUGCUCUCCGGCGAUCCAGGACCUCUGGCAGCCCUGCUCUCAGCUCGUGCCUGGGCAGGAACUCGGCCCGGCUGAAAGCCUCUGGGCAAACUAUCAGUGUAAGCUAUCGCCUUGGCUUGUUGACCAGGUUCCAAAGGGCCUGCAGCAAGUCCCUUCUCCGUCCCUGGCUUCAGUUCCCAGUUCCCUGUGCGAGACGGUGCAGAGGUGGGGGGUGGGGGACGUGAGGUCCCAGCCAGCUCUGGGAGCUCAGCUGCCUGACUCAAUUAUACCUGAUGCGCCUGGAGGGACGUGGUGAAGUGAGCCCUGGGGAAAUGCUUGGGGAACAUGCAAAGCUCAUUAGGGGCAGAGCUCCGUGUGCCAAAGGAGCAGGAAUGAAAGAAGGUUCAGUACUUUGGGCCACUUCUGACCAUCUUUGGGUGUCUGGCUAUGACCAGAGGCUUGGAAAAUGGGAUCUUUGCAUUGCAAUUCACGUGUUAUCUGUAUUUUAUAAAACGAAAGCCAAAGUCGGCAUCGUGCUAUUUGGAGGCAUCCUUUCAUUUGUUUGCUCCUUCGUUAGAAAAACACUCAUGGAGAACUGACUACAGUGGCCAGGUCGGGGAGCUGAUCAGGAGACAGUGAAGGAAGCGGGAAAUCAUCACAAGUGAAAGGGGCGCAACGACGGCAUGAGGAAAGGGUCUGGCCAGUUGCCACGGGACGCACUACCUGUCCCUCUGAUACACACGCUGUCAUAAGCGCGUCACCACCUCUCCCUGGAGACUGUGCAGGACUGCACAGGAGGAUACAGGCUUAGCCAGGGGAAGUGACCUGCGCAAGAUCACGCAACCCCUAUCUUCUGACCCCAAAUGCAGGACUGCCUCCGUUACCCCACAGCCACAGAUAGAACAUCAUGAGUCAAAGCCGUAUAGGCUUCCUUCAAUGAAUCACUUUUGCUUUGCUAAGCCGCUUGUGUUCCCACUUAAAAUAAUAAUCAUAAAAGCCCUGGCUUGCCUACUUUUGGUAUAAAGCUGAGUGGUCUAAGGGGCUUUAAAAAAUGAAAAUGUUUAUGGAUAAACUGCAAGGUCCUACCAUAUAAUAUUGUAUUCUUGCAAUAGCUGAUAAUGGAAACGAACCUGAAAAAGAACAGAUCUAUGUCUGCAGAACUGAAUCAUUUUGCUGUAUACCUGAAACACUGUAAAUCAACUGCAUGUCAAUAGAACAUUUUUAAAAAA
rnacentral:lncRNA from 1 species